rnacentral:rRNA from 1 species
GACAGAGGGUGCAAGCGUUGUUCGGAAUCAUUGGGCGUAAAGCGCGCGUAGGUGGCUUGAUAAGUUGAAUGUGAAAGCCCUGGGCUCAACCCAGGAAGUGCAUUCAAGACUGCCAAGCUUGAGUCCUGGAGAGGGUGGUGGAAUUCCCAGUGUAGAAGUGAAAUUCGUAGAUAUUGGGAGGAACACCAGUGGCGAAGGCGACCACCUGGACGGAGACUGACACUGAGGCGCGAAAGCGUGGGGAGCAAACAGG